rnacentral:rRNA from 1 species
AAAGAGUUUAUAGACUGUAACUAGUGUGUAGUAUAAUGCUGGGAACAGGUGUAAUUAGGGGUGAUAGGCCUUUCAAAUACCAUGAUAUCUUGAUUGUGCCCAAACGUAUCUAGUACGCAAAACAAAUAUAAAGUGUUUAGGCUUUAUAUAAUCCCAAAUUUAAUUGAUAUGUUUUAAGGUUUAACCAUCUUUAAAUUAGAGUUAUUAAUAUUAAUAUUCCGUAUGUUGGGGGUUGUAGGUGCUUCUAUACUUAAUUAAACUUGAUAGUAAUAAUGUUACCAUAAGUAUUGGUUAAGGCGUUUUUAAUGAACUCGGCAAUAACUACUCUCAACUGUUUAUCAAAAACAUAGCUGUUUGAAAUUAAUAUACAGUUUUUUCUGCCCACUGUUUUAUAAAUGGCCGCAGUACUCUGACUGUGCAAAGGUAGCAUAAUCAAUUGGCUUAUAAUUGAAGUCUAGUAUGAAAGAAAAGAUGGGGGUAGACUAUAUAGAAGAUGCGAGGAAAAAUUACUCAAUAAGUGAAAAGACUUAUAUUUAAAUAAUAGACGAGAAGACCCUAGAAAUUUUGACAAUGUAUACAUAUAUAGGUUUUUGUUGGGGCGACACAGUAGCACUUAAACCUACUAAGAAAAAUAUGAUUUAAAUAUUACGAGUAAUUAAAUUACUCUAGGGAUAACAGCAUAAUAUUAAAAAGUUUGUGACCUCGAUGUUGGACUAGGAUACUACCGCCCAGAAGGUUGCUAGUUAGGCUCUGUUCGAGCUAUUACUCCUACAUGAUCUGAGUUCAGACCGGCGUAAGCCAGGUCAGUUUCUAA